rfam:Pristionchus pacificus strain PS312 contig12106, whole genome shotgun sequence.
UCUUCAUUUCCCAUACUCUCUCGGCCGGUCAGAGAGGCGAGAGAGUGUGUGAAAUGAAGAGA